rnacentral:rRNA from 1 species
GACGAACCGUCCAAACGUUAUUCGGAAUCACUGGGCUUACAGAGUUCGUAGGCGGUCUGGAAAGUUGGGUGUGAAAUCCCUCGGCUCAACCGAGGAACUGCGCUCAAAACUACCCGACUCGAGGGAGAUAGAGGAAAGCGGAACUGAUGGUGGAGCGGUGAAAUGCGUUGAUAUCAUCAGGAACACCGGUGGCGAAGGCGGCUUUCUGGGUCUUACCUGGCGCUGAGGAACGAAAGCUAGGGGAGCGAACGGG